UACGGAGGGAGCUAGCGUUGUUCGGAAUUACUGGGCGUAAAGCGCGCGUAGGCGGCUUUGUAAGUUAGAGGUGAAAGCCCGGGGCUCAACUCCGGAAUUGCCUUUAAGACUGCAUCGCUUGAAUCCGGGAGAGGUGAGUGGAAUUCCGAGUGUAGAGGUGAAAUUCGUAGAUAUUCGGAAGAACACCAGUGGCGAAGGCGGCUCACUGGACCGGUAUUGACGCUGAGGUGCGAAAGCGUGGGGAGCAAACAGG
rnacentral:rRNA from 1 species